rnacentral:rRNA from 1 species
AAGUCGUAACAAGGUCUCCGUUGGUGAACCAGCGGAGGGAUCAUUACUGAGUACUACACUCUCUACCCUUUGUGAACUAUUAUACCUGUUGCUUCGGCGGCGCCCGCGAGGGUGCCCGCCGGUCUCAUCAGAAUCUCUGUUUUCGAACCCGACGAUACUUCUGAGUGUUCUUAGCGAACUGUCAAAACUUUUAACAACGGAUCUCUUGGCUCCAGCAUCGAUGAAGAACGCAGCGAAACGCGAUAUGUAAUGUGAAUUGCAGAAUUCAGUGAAUCAUCGAAUCUUUGAACGCACAUGGCGCCUUCCAGUAUCCUGGGAGGCAUGCCUGUCCGAGCGUCGUUUCAACCCUUGAGCCCCCGUGGCCCGGCGUUGGGGAUCUGCCACGGCAGGCCCCUAAAACCAGUGGCGGACCCGAAGGCCCUCUCCUUUGCGCAGUAGCAUCAGCCUCGCAUUGGGAUCCCUCGGCGUCCUGCCUCUAAACCCCCCACAAGUCCGCUCCGGCGGCACCAAGGUUGACCUCGGAUCAGGUAGGAAUACCCGCUGAACUUAA